GUAAAACGUCGCCCCGGCGAAGGCCGGGGCCGCUGCGUACUUUGGCGAUCCGGGUGCCCCAAACGCAGCGGCCCCGGCCUGCGCCGGGGCGACGAUAUCU
rnacentral:pre_miRNA from 1 species